AUUGAACGCUGGCGGCAGGCCUAACACAUGCAAGUCGAACGAGUGGCGGACGGGUGAGUAAUGUCUGGGAAACUGCCCGAUGGAGGGGGAUAACUACUGGAAACGGUAGCUAAUACCGCAUACCAUCGGAUGUGCCCAGAUGGGAUUAGCUUGUAGGUGAGGUAACGGCUCACCUAGGCGACGAGCCCUAGCUGGGCUGUGAGGAUGCCGAGCUACACUGGAAUUGAUGCACGGUCGAGACUCCUACGGGAGCACGAAGGGGGGAAUAUUGCAAUAUUGGAGCAAGCUUGAUGCAGCCAUGCCGCGUGUAUGAAGAAGUCCUUCGUGUUGUAAAGUACUUUCAGCGGGGAGGCGUUACCCGCAGAAGAAGCACCGGCUAACUCCGUGCCAGCAGCCGCGGUAAUUC
rnacentral:rRNA from 1 species